rnacentral:tRNA from 1 species
GCCUCCUUAGUUAAAUGGAUAUAAGAACCUGAUGCUUCGCAUCAGAACCUUGUUACUCGCAUAGCUCGUAAUAAUAAACCCCUCCUAAGGGUCAGCCCCGGGUUCGAUUCCCGCAGGGGGUGCCA